CUUCCGCCUCAGGAAAUUUGGUGAGCGCUUGAAAAAGUCCAACCCGGAAAAAGACUGUUCACUUCAGUUCCCCCCGACUUCUUGUCCUCCUCUCUUUCUCUCGGACUCAGGUUGUCUUGAAAAUCAGCUCGUAGAAAAGGGCCAGCCACUGGAGGACAUAAGGGGUAUGACAUCUGGACUUUCCAGAGCAGUGGCAGGAUUGAGACCUCCUAGACUUUAUACCACUCAAGUGCAACAGACUCAGGUACUCCAGCAUGUCUGAUUUAACUGUGCUGACUGAAGCCCGGUGGUACCAACGCAUGACAGGGACGCCAUCAGGCCCCACUAGAAACUUCUCAAAGUUCCAGCGAAUGUCAUGGACCUUCAUGGGCUCCCAGAAGAGCUGACUUGAUGAGCCCAAAAGAUCAGAGGUUGGAGGGCAGGCGUUCUGGAGCAGAGAGAGAGAAAUCGACAAUGUUUUUUCUGUUUCUGUGUGGUCUCGUCUUAUCCCCACCCCUAGAAUGUCUACUCACCAGUAUGUAUCUCAGUAUAUUAACUAAUUGACAUGCUCCUAAUGAACCAUAGACAUUCCAAUACAUCAUUACCAGUACAAUCAACAACCAAGAGUUAGUAUGAUAGCAAACAGAAAAGUUUAUUCCUUUCUCUGUUUCUCCCUCAAUCCCAUGAUUAUAUCACAGUGCUUCAAAGAAAGACUAUCUUCUGUU